AUGAGCACUCCUAAUGGUUAAAUCAUACACAUAUUUCAUUAGCUACUAAUACCUAGAAAUGGAAUGAUAAGAGAAAAUGGAAUUGAUAAGACGGCCAUUGUUAUCUAAAAUCAUAAAGUUAAUAUUAAAACGUUGUUUUUCGAGAAUUAAACCUUACCUAAAAAACUUAAUUUAGUGCUAGGGGUACUACAGAAGAAGAGGCGAUACGAAUAGUGUUUCGAAUUAAGGAUUCAGCUAGAAGAAUAGAGCGAAAAUUUAGUUGCGACUGAUUCAACUGGUCUGUUUCUGCAUCGAUACUACGGGUGCAAGCUUAGGGGUCCUAGGAUAGUCAAGAUAAGCUGAGAUAACGUCGAAGGCUUUAGAAUCGGUACUAUCGGAAACGAGGCAUACCAAAUCUUUUUUGAGCUGCCACAAAUCCGUGCUGCUUCAGAAAGUUGGUACAAAUCCGAACAGUCGGUUUGAGUGAACAACCCGUCGGGUGAUGAUGCUGCUGUUUUGUUAUUAUCAACGUUUGCAGUUCGCGAUUCCAGACACUUUUUACCAGGAUGGGCUGGUAAAAGGCAUUGACGACAGGAUUUUGGUUGAUUUAAAUAAGUUACCAUAGUGGUUUCGUUCCCGAUAGUUACGUACGAGGGGAUAUUGCGAAGCAGAUUCAUCCUCAACACUCGCACACCAUUUGAAAUUCCGGGAAAAUAGUGCCGCCAUGCCUCGUUUCUGAUAGAGAUUAUCUCACCAUAUUUCAGCAUGAAAUCACUUAUUGCACUGUUACUCAUAGACGGGGGGAGAUCAUGCAACCGCACGGUCACUGCCUCACAAUCCGCAUAAACCGGUAUGCGGAAUUCCUUGUCUGCACACACCAUUUUACAUUUCCAAUUAUUUUCUAAUUGAUACCGUGUGACAAUUUCUUGAUUUUUCAUCUCAAUAAGCACACAAUUGCGGCUAUUGUGCAAUUGUAUGCUCGAAACAUUAUCAUAUUGGAGCUUCAACUGGCUUUCCAGGAAUAGCUUCACUUUCCCAGCAUCAGGGCGUACUGGGAGAACACUAAAGUCCACCACCAAUGUAUUCUUCCGCACGCUACACAUUUUCCACGGGAUAUAUUUAAAGCGAG